CAGGGUGCUGGCUGCCCAACAGGCAGACACCGUGAAGUGCAGGGUACAGGACCUCCUGGCCAUCCCCGUUGAUCCGCACAGCAGACAGCAGUGCUGGGGGCAGCAGAACAGCGGGGAACCCUGCUUGGGCAGUCAGCCAUGGCCUAAC